rnacentral:sRNA from 1 species
UUAUUCAAUGAAGCAGAUACGGUAAAUACAUGGUUGAAUUUCUUAAUAUGAGCCAAAGUUUUGUUUUUUUUUAUAUGGGUUUCUGUGUUUUGAUUGGCUGGGAUGAUGAAUUGUAACAGCUUGAUACGCCAGUUCUGCUUCAGAUAAUUCUUGAUCGAAAAAGCUGUAUUCUUAUCCGAGCCUUUCAUUGCUAUUUUGUCUUUCUUCUGAGUUAUUAUUUCUUGGGAAUGUCGAUGAGGAUCUAAUCCAAUCUUACGAGGUGCAGUGGAGCUGAGACCUUGUUUUACAGGGAGAACCCCUUGGCAGAAGCUGCAAUUUCUUUGACUUCAAUGGAUUUUACUGAGACUUUCUCAUUCAUUUAUCGUUUUUAUUGAAAUCUAUUUGAGUUUAAACUAUACACUUGCACUUGUAUCUUAGUGCUUGUAGUCUGAAAAAACUCAUAAAUUCUCAGUGUUCUCAUCAGCUUCCGUCUCCUUAACCAUGAGACUUGAGUUAAACAAGAUCACUACAUUAUUCUCUUUCAAUUUCACAUUAUCUUUUUGUUUUCUUGUUUUGAGUUUAUAUUUCGGACUAAAGAGUAUGUUUUGCCCGUAUUUAUGAGGUUGGAUAUGGAUAUUAAACAACAAGUCUAUCCGUUCCAACAACGCUUUUCAUAGAGUCAUUUCGUUGCUACAAGUUAUUGGAUGAGAAAGGGGCUGCUACGUUGCGAAUUUCUUGAUCCCCUGUUGUAGAAUUGAGUCAAACACAUCCAUUUUCUUCUUCUCUAGUGCUAUUCCAAUCUCAACUCCAUUGCUGCCGUCUCUGGACUCUGAGAAUGCGAU